ACGCGAGCUGGGUUCAGAACGUCGUGAGACAGUUCGGUCCCUAUCCGGUGUUGGCGUUGGAGAUUUGAGAGACCCUGUCCCUAGUACGAGAGGACCGGGAUGGACGAACCUCUAGUGCACCUGUUGUCGCGCCAGCGGCAUCGCAGGGUAGCUAUGUUCGGAAGGGAUAACCGCUGAAAGCAUCUAAGCGGGAAGCCUUUCUCAAGAUGAGAUCUCCCUGGGCUUAGGCCCCUGAAGACACCUCAAAGACCAUGAGGUUGAUAGGCCACAGGUAUAAGGGCAGUAAUGUCUGUAGCCGAGUGGUACUAAUAUGUCGUGAGGCUUGACCAUAUUACACC
rnacentral:rRNA from 1 species